rnacentral:rRNA from 1 species
GAUGAACGCUUUCGGCGUGCCUAAUACAUGCAAGUCGAGCGAACAGACGAGGAGCUUGCUCCUUUGACGUUAGCGGCGGACGGGUGAGUAACACGUGGGUAACCUACCUAUAAGACUGGGAUAACUUCGGGAAACCGGAGCUAAUACCGGAUAAUAUUUCGAACCGCAUGGUUCGAUAGUGAAAGAUGGCUCUGCUAUCCCUUAUAGAUGGACCUGCGCCGUAUUAGCUAGUUGGUAAGGUAACGGCUUACCAAGGCAACGAUACGUAGCCGACCUGAGAGGGUGAUCGGCCACACUGGAACUGAGACACGGUCCAGACUCCUACGGGAGGCAGCAGUAGGGAAUCUUCCGCAAUGGGCGAAAGCCUGACGGAGCAACGCCGCGUGAGUGAUGAAGGUCUUCGGAUCGUAAAACUCUGUUAUUAGGGAAGAACAAACGUGUAAGUAACUGUGCACGUCUUGACGGUACCUAAUCAGAAAGCCACGGCUAACUACGUGCCAGUAGCCGCGGUAAUACGUAGGUGGCAAGCGUUAUCCGGAAUUAUUGGGCGUAAAGCGCGCGUAGGCGGUUUUUUAAGUCUGAUGUGAAAGCCCACGGCUCAACCGUGGGAGGGUCAUUGGAAACUGGAAAACUUGAGUGCAGAAGAGGAAAGUGGAAUUCCAUGUGUAGCGGUGAAAUGCGCAGAGAUAUGGAGGAACACCAGUGGCGAAGGCGACUUUCUGGUCUGUAACUGACGCUGAUGUGCGAAAGCGUGGGGAUCAAACAGGAUUAGAUACCCUGGUAGUCCACGCCGUAAACGAUGAGUGCUAAGUGUUAGGGGGUUUCCGCCCCUUAGUGCUGCAGCUAACGCAUUAAGCACUCCGCCUGGGGAGUACGACCGCAAGGUUGAAACUCAAAGGAAUUGACGGGGACCCGCACAAGCGGUGGAGCAUGUGGUUUAAUUCGAAGCAACGCGAAGAACCUUACCAAAUCUUGACAUCCUUUGACCCUUCUAGAGAUAGAAGUUUCCCCUUCGGGGGACAAAGUGACAGGUGGUGCAUGGUUGUCGUCAGCUCGUGUCGUGAGAUGUUGGGUUAAGUCCCGCAACGAGCGCAACCCUUAAGCUUAGUUGCCAUCAUUAAGUUGGGCACUCUAAGUUGACUGCCGGUGACAAACCGGAGGAAGGUGGGGAUGACGUCAAAUCAUCAUGCCCCUUAUGAUUUGGGCUACACACGUGCUACAAUGGACAAUACAAAGGGCAGCGAAACCGCGAGGUCAAGCAAAUCCCAUAAAGUUGUUCUCAGUUCGGAUUGUAGUCUGCAACUCGACUACAUGAAGCUGGAAUCGCUAGUAAUAAUAGAUCAGCAUGCUACGGUGAAUACGUUCCCGGGUC